CAGAGACAGAGCUGGCACAGCCCCAAGGGAAGCCUGUCGGGCCAGCUACCCUGGAGGCGCUAUGGGUGUGUGGUCUGAGACUAGGAGAGCUGGGAAGUGGAGACCUGGGUUCUGUCUGGGAAAACCACACGGAGAUCUCAUGCUUCUCCACUGCUAUCCACCUCUUGUUGUGGGUUACACGAAGGUGAAGUGGGGGAAGUGGCGUGGGGCUGAGAAUUCAAGGCAUAGUUGGUCUCCCCAUUCCAGCCUUUGCUCCCAACUGCUGGUGGCCUUGGACAAGCUGUCUACACUUUCUGGGCCUUAUGUCCUCAUCUUUCAGGAAGGGAUACCAACAUCAUUCCUGCUGUCUCCCCACUUCCCCAGGGUGUUGGGAGGAUAAGGUUUCUGCCCCAAAUUCACACACUCCCUCCUAUCACCAAAGCCACCCGCCACCGCUGGCCUCCUGCAUGCUGUGGGAGGAGAGGAGGGCAGACAACGUUGCCUCCCCUGACUCCCAUCGCGCGGGCUUGUGAGUCCAUGGAGCGCAGUUGUCCAGGGAACUAUCCGAUGCAGCAUGAGAGGAAGGUGAUGCAGCGGCAUCCCACCUUGAGAUGAGAGAAAGCUGUUCUGGGCUUCCAGUGAUUGGCAGCUGAGGUCACUCCUUUGCCCAUACCCCCGCCCCGAGACUGUUUCCAGUGCCCCAAGUUCACCUCAAGGAUCAUUGCACAGCAGAAAUGUAAGGAGGCCACCAGCCAAGAAAUGCUGUCAGUGCCUGGAAGCUGGAAAGGCAAUGAAAUGGAUUUUCCCCAGAACCUCCAGGGAGAAUAUGGCACAGCUUCUACCUUGAUUUUCACCCAGUGAGACACAUUUUGGAUUUCUGACCUAAAGAAUUGUAAGGCUGCCUGGAUCCCCAGAGUUUGUCUGGAAAGCCUCUUGAGAUGGGGUUAUGUGCUCCGAGGAUCCCAGGAGGAAGGAUGGGGCAAGAGCAGACAAACCUAUGCCUCUACAGCAGCUGUACCGUUGUCCUGGGAGUGAGCCCCAGCCGUGGCUCAAGGCACACGUGCCUCCAGAGGACAAUCUGGGAUGCUCAGGGGACAGAGAGGCAGAGGGACUAUCAGGGUGAAGCUGUCUUUUUCACUUGUUUGGCACUCAGCCCAGGGCCUGGAUUUAUCCUGCACAAAAUGAACAGUGCAGGGCCCUUCAUCUGGGGAAAGCCUAACAGUGGCACCCAAGCAGAGCUAGGAGGUCCAGGUCCUCCAGUGGCAGGGAGGGAGGGAGCUCCUUUCCAGGUACUUUCUUUCCUAGAUAGAGGAUCUUGGUGACUCAUCUCCCAGUUCAACUGUAAAGGCUAAGGGCCUCCUUGAAGUUUCCUUCCUUAUGAAAAUGUCCAUAGCAAGUUUGUCACUUAGGAAUGUUUUUCAAUGAUAGGAAACAGAAAAGCCAACUAGUAGGAGAUGAAAUAAGUUGAGAUUUUUUUUUUUAAUAGCAAGAAGUCUGGAUAUUGUCAGUAGCCGGCAUUGGUUUAGGACACAAUAAUAUUGGGGAUGAUGUCCUGUAUUUUUCUUGGCCUUUUUCUUACAGUCACAAUGUGGAUGCCAUGGCUCAAGGUAUCACAUCCCUAUUCAAGGCAGGAUAUAGGAGGAAGGGAUGGUGCCAGAUACAUCUGUCCCAUUUAUUAAAAAGCAAGCUUCUCCAAAACCCAAGCAGGUUUCUGCCUAUCUCUCACUGCCAGGACACUGUCAAAUGUUCCCUACAGCUACAGAAGAUGAGAAAAGAAGAUACUCAUUUUUCCAGCCUCUAGAGUGGAGACUGGUAAGGGAAAGGAGGUUCAGAAUGGGUGUGGGGUAAGCCAGUCUAUUGUUAGAUAAAUGCUUGUUGACCCAAAUUGCUUCCCCUUAAAAAAGACAGGUUGUUCCAUGUGAAGGCAUCCGGGGUAUAAAGGAUCUCUCACCCAUGUCAGAGACCCCUCACCCACCACACCUGGGCAGCCCCUGAUGGUCUACCCAGGCACCUGCUGCCAUGGACUAUGGCCACUAACAUCUCUCUCUCUCUCUCUCUCUCUCUCUCUCUCUCUCUUUCUGGGAGGUUUGUCCCACAGAAAGCCACAUCAUUGAGGAAGCAGAAGGAAAAGAGAAAGUCUGUCUUAACUUCCAAGUAAUAAAAUUCAGGGCUGUUUUCUGUGGCCAAAGUUAACUGUUCAAUUAACUCAGAGAGGAAACGUCAAACCAGUUAUCUGGGAUACUGACUAGCUCUCACCUUUCCACCAGCUGCCUGGACUUGAAGAGCCAGCUGGCACUCAGGUCCUGGGUAUGUGGGGGCCUCCUUCCAGCCAGCUUUCCUCCUCACCCUCUCACCUCAUUUCUGCUGCUUCUUCCACCUGGUCCCACCUGAUCUCCACAUCUGUUUACCCUUAGCUUGGGCUGCCUCCCAUCCGUCCUCUCUCACCUGCAGAUGGAGUAUCUCUGAAGCUGACUAUGCAACCAACACCUCCCUCCCUCCCUGCCCCUCCUUGGACUCUCCACCCAGCAGCAGUGGGCUGGCAGGAACACCCACCUUCCUAACCACAGGCCCCUGCCGGGCGCACACACAGUACUUGGAUUCCCCGGAGCAACGCGAUGCUGUUAGAUGUGGUGGGAGGGUCAGGAUCUGGGAGAAAUUCUGAGGGACUCACAGGCAUGACUCACAUUUGGCAUUUGGUGGGUGUCUGCCCACUUGAACAUGAAGACAGGCACCUGCCCACCUUCAAGCAUGCCUGGGGUCUCCUGCUUGAGUGGGCAAGUUUUUGCUUCUGCAAGACUGCAGGGAGCUCAUUGGCAUGUCCUUCGUAGGGGCAGCAGCUGGCCUACGGUGCUGGUCGGUGGGGGGAGUCCACAGCAGGAGUCCACAGCAGGAGCCUUGCCCAGCAAGGAUGUUGCAUCUCCUGGUGAUUAACGGACGAGAGUCAUUCCCAUCGACCCUGAAUCCCAAUAGCCUGAGAAUGGGGUGGGGUGGUAAACAAGGGUAGGCAGAUACAGGAACAAUUUCCAAAAGUCUAGGUUAGCCCUGCUGCUGUGUUGGUGAAGGCUGGUGAGGGUGCAGGCAAAGGGAAAAGGGACCCUUUCCUAAACUGUUGGUAGAAAUAUAAAUUGGCUUAGUAUUUCUGAAGGACAAUUUGGCCUUAACUAUCAAUUUUUAUUUUUAUUUUUUUUUGAGACAAGAUCUCACUCUGUGGUCCAGGCUGGAGUGCAAUGUUGCAAUUGUGCAGUAGCGCAAUCAUGGCUCACUGCAACCUCCACCUCCUGGGCUCAAGUGAUCCUCCCACCUCAGCCUCCCAAGUAGCUGGGACUACAGGUGCACAUCACCAUGCUUGGCUAACUUUUUGUAUUUUUUUUUUUUUUGGUAAAGACAGGGUCUCACCAUGUUGCCCAGGCUGGUCUUGAACUCCUGAGCUCAAGCAAUCCACCUGCCUCAGCCUCCAAAAGUGCUGAGAUUACAGGCGUUAGCUACCAUGCCCAGCCACCUAUUAAAUUUUAUUUUAUUUUAUUUUUUGAGUCCGUGUCUCACUCUGUUGCCCAGGCUGGAGUACAGUGGCGCAGCCUCGGCUUACUACAACCUGCACCUCCCAGGUUCAAGUGAUUCUCCUGCCUCAGCCUCCUGAGUAGAUGGGACUACAGGCGUGCAACAUCACGCCUAGCUAAUUUUUGUAUUUUUAGUAGAGAUGGGGUUUCACCAUGUUGGUGAGGCUGGUCUCAAACUCCUGACCUCAGGUGAUCUGCCUGCCUCUGCCUCCCAAAGUGCUGGGAUUAUAGGCAUGAAGCACUGUGCCCAGCCACCUAUCAAAUUUUAAAUGGGUAAGUGUAUAUCUAGGCUGCAGAUUUAGUUCCACACAUGUAUUAUCUUAGCAAGGUUUCUCCCAAGGAUUUGGGGGAAACAGAGGACUUACAUUUUCUACUUCAUACACUUUUAGAUUUAUAUUUUUUGAUGAUGAGCAUGUAUUAACUUUCUAAUUAUAAAAAUAGCAAAAGGGUGGCUGGACACAGUGGCUCACGCCUGUAAUCCCAGCACCUUGGGAGGCCGAGGUGGGCGGAUCAUGAAGUCAGGAGAUCGAGACCAUCCUGGCUAACACGGUGAAACCCUCUCUACUAAAAAUACAAAAAAAUUAGCUGGGCAUGGUGGCAGGCACCCGUAGUCCCAGCUGCUGGGGAGGCUGA
rnacentral:lncRNA from 10 species